GCCCGGCUGGCGCAAUGGUAGCGCGCAAGACUUCUAUGAUCUCCUUCCUAUCCCAGGAAAGAGAGAGAGCCCAAUCUUGAGGCUGUGGGUUCGAGUCCCACGUCGGGUG